rnacentral:siRNA from 1 species
UGUUCCCUGUCUCUCUCUCAU